UACGUAGGGUGCGAGCGUUGUCCGGAAUUACUGGGCGUAAAGAGCUCGUAGGUGGUUUGUCGCGUUGUUCGUGAAAUCUCACGGCUUAACUGUGAGCGUGCGGGCGAUACGGGCAGACUAGAGUACUGCAGGGGAGACUGGAAUUCCUGGUGUAGCGGUGGAAUGCGCAGAUAUCAGGAGGAACACCGGUGGCGAAGGCGGGUCUCUGGGCAGUAACUGACGCUGAGGAGCGAAAGCGUAGGGAGCGAACAGG
rnacentral:rRNA from 1 species